GGGUCUUUGGCGCAGUUGGUUAGCGCGUAGGUCUCAUAACAUGACUCACUCUGAGUGAGAGACAUCCUAAGGUCGCCAGUUCGAUCCUGGCAAGGCCCA
rnacentral:tRNA from 1 species